UAAGAUUCGAAUUUCAAUCUGACCCCUACAUAACGUCAUUUACCAACUGAGCUAAACUUAUAAAGACUACUAAAAAAUAUCUUUAAUCAAAUAAUAACUAUGAUAAAAAUAACAAUAAUUUAUGCCUACAUAGAACAAGAAUACUAAGUUUUUGAGUAAUUUUUUCACCAAUCAAAGUUUGGAGAACUAGUACUAAGGAGUGUUUUUUUGUAGGGUAAAGUGUACUGAUUAUAAAUUUCAUCAUUAAGGUGAAUAAGUGUCGUGUUUAAGAUUUGAAUCUUGGUCUGGCCCCUACAUAACAUCAGUUACUAAGUGAGUUAAACUCAUGAAGACUACUAACAAGUAUAUUUUUUUUGGUAGAAUACUAAAAAGUAUCUUUAAUCAAAUAAUAACUAUGAUAAAAAUAACAAUAAUUUAUGCCUACAUAGAUAAAGCGAGAAUACCAAGUUUUUGAGUAAUUUUUUCCUUUCAAAUUUAUUACUCUUCAUGUAAACUUUAAUUUACUAUUUUAGUAUUUUUUUUAUUGCUUACAAUGGAGCUGAUGAUCCAACCUACGACUUCUAUAGCAUACUACCAAAAUCUCUUAUCGCUUGAUUAAACCUUACUAUUUUAUAUUUUAUCAUUUUUAUUUAAUCAAAUAACUAUUUGUUUAUUAAAAAAUAUCUAUGACAUAUUUGUGACCACUUGUCUAAUCAAUUAUAAUGAUAUAUGCAGGGACUGUUAAGAGUAACAAGUGAAAAAGAAAUUGAGGUACUUGCAA
rnacentral:lncRNA from 1 species